CAACACCUAGUCUGAUCAAGUCUUGAUCAGUAAGGUGCUGAAAAGUGUCAUCUUCUAUCCUAUCAUCUUUAAAAAUUUUAAUUUGAAAGAUUUGCAGAUUAAGUUCUACAAGAGCACGUUGUAUAGCAGACGACAUGUUGCCAGUAUGAAAAUAAACCCGAAAAAAAUAUACAUGUUUUCGGUUAUUUUCGGAAGUCUACCACCACCACAUAAUGAAAAAAAGCACUGAAAGUAAUUGAUUAACCACCUAGUAUAAUAUUUUUUGAACCAAACAUAAAACAUUUUGACCACUGAUCAUAAAGUUGUUUGAACUGAACAUAAUAUUUAUUUUACUGAACAUAAUGAUCAGUCUACAGAACAUAAUAUUUAUUUCACUCAACAUAAUGAUAACAGUACUGAUAAUAAAGUGCUGCGCUUUAGCGCAUGAUACGCCCGUUGCUCUUUUAACUUGUUUUUGAAAGUGUUAGUUAUUGUCCCAAAAUUGGAAAAUCCCCCCUUUUUUAAGCAUAAAAAUUCAUAACACGGAAAUGUAAAAUCUUAAAUUUAUAAAAAUUG
rnacentral:lncRNA from 1 species